GUUUCUUGCUCUAUAUAGUAGUAUAUGCUUGUCACAAAGAUUAAGCCAUUCAGUAUAAGUAUACAUAGCCGGUACAAUGAAACUGUGAAUGGCUUAUUAAACCAUUUAUGGUUCCUUUGAUUGCUCCAUGUGAUAUUUGGAUAACUGCAGUAAUUCUAGAGCUGAUACAUGCUGACAAACGCUGACCUCCUGUGAUCUCCUGACCGUGUUGGUGACUCUAGAUAACCUCAGGGCGAUCACACGUCCCGGUGACAGCGACAAUACAUUCGGAUGUCUCCCUAUCAACUUUCAAUGAUACUUUACCUACCAUGGCCAUGAGUAACGGGGAAUCACGGUUCGAUUAUGGAGAGGGAACCUGAGAAAUGGCUACCACAUCCAAAAAGGCAGCAGACGCGCAAAUUACCCACUCCCAACUCUGGAAGGUAGCAACGAAAAAUAACAAUACAAGACUCUUUCAAGGCCCUAUAAUUGGAAUGAGUACACUUUAAAUCCUGUAACGAGGAUCCAUUGGAGGGCAAGUCUGGUGCUAGCAGCCGCCGUAAUUCCAUCAUAUACCCAUAACGUAUAUUAAAGUUGCUGCAGUAAUGUUCAAAGCAGGCCGAUUGGCUGAAUACUUUAGCUAGGAAUAACGGAAUAGGACUCUGGUUCUAUUUUGUUGGUUUUCGUAACUGGGGCCAUGAUUAAGAGGGACGGACGGGGGCAUUGGUAUCGUGCAGCUAGAGGUUAAAUCCUUGGACUGGUGGAAGACGAACCAAAGGGAAAACAAUUGCCGAGAAUGUUUUCAUUAAUCACGAAUGAAAGUUUGAGGUUUAAAGACGAUCAGAUACCAUCGUAGUUCCGACCAUAAACGAUGCUGACUAGCAAUCCAGCAGUUUUAUUCCCAUGGCCUUCUGAGCAGCUUCCGGGAAACCAACGUCUUUCGGUUCUGGGGGAGUAUGGUUUCAAUUCUGAAACUUAAAGAAAUUGAUGGAAGGGCCCCAUCAUCAGGAGUGGAGCCUGCAGCUUAAUUUGACUUAACACGUGAAACCUCAUACAGCUGAGACACAGAAAGGAUUGGCAGAUUGAGAGCGCUUUCUUGAUUCGGUGGGUGGUGGUUCAUGGCCUUCCUUAGUUUGUGGCAUGCUUUGUCUGGUUAAUUCCGAUAACAAACAAGACUCCUCUAUGAUAACUAGAUACAUGACCCCCAGCGGUUGGCGUUCAACUUCUUAGAGAGACAAGUGGGGUUCAGCGUUCAGCCACACAAGAUCGGACAAUAACAGGUCUGGGCUGCAUGUGCGCUACGCUGAACAGAACAAAAGGAAACAGUGUCCACAGUGUGUGGAACUCUCGCGUCCGAUGCACACGCAUGGUUUU
rnacentral:rRNA from 1 species